AUUGAACGCUGGCGGCAGGCUUAACACAUGCAAGUCGAGCGGGGGAAGGUAGCUUGCUACCGGACCCAGCGGCGGACGGGUGAGUAAUGCUUAGGAAUCUGCCUAUUAGUGGGGGACAACAUCUCGAAAGGGAUUCUAAUACCGCAUACGUCCUACGGGAGAAAGCAGGGGAUCUUCGGACCUUGCGCUAAUAGAUGAGCCUAAGUCGGAUUAGCUAGUUGGUGGGGUAAAGGCCUACCAAGGCGACGAUCUGUAGCGGGUCUGAGAGGAUGAUCCGCCACACUGGGACUGAGACACGGCCCAGACUCCUACGGGAGGCAGCAGGGGGGAAUAUUGGACAAUGGGGGGAACCCUGAUCCAGCCAUGCCGCGUGUGUGAAGAAGGCCUUAUGGUUGUAAAGCACUUUAAGCGAGGAGGAGGCUACUUUAGUUAAUACCUAGAGAUAGUGGACGUUACUCGCAGAAUAAGCACCGGCUAACUCUGUGCCAGCAGCCGCGGUAA
rnacentral:rRNA from 1 species